CGAGAUGAAAUGAAGAAGAGGGAUAGAGGGAGGGAGGGAGGGAUGGUGGUUUAGGAGGAGGUGGAGGAGAGAGAAAGCUGUCAGCACCACAGGGUAUAUAACACAGUUGUCAUUGCCAGCAGCCAUUGCACACGCGAGCAGCCAAGUGAUGUGUCAGCUUGGCAUCAAUGCAUAUAGGACAAGACAAGGUAUAAUAAGAUUGCUUCACCUUUCUCUCAAGAGUGUGUCAUGUGUCUGUGGUCAUCGAGCCGCGUGCCUCCUUAUCCUCAAAUGAAAUUCCAUUUAGCACACUGCACCCGGCGGUGUCAUUUUGAUCGGAGCAGCUCAUUCCCAAGCCACAUACAAGAAGCUACUUACCCCCGUAUCCGCUUUUUUUUUUUUUUUUUUUGCACUUCAGUUUUCUGCAUCAUUACCCUGCACUACAGUUUCAAUUUGAGCCAAAGCAAAUGAAGAAACAAAUCCUUCAUUUCCUGUGUGUAGUGGGGGUGGCAGUUUCCAAAGUAUAACAACGGCUGCUCCUGCUGUAAAUUUAAAUCGCUCAUUGGUGUCUACUGGACUUUAUCACAUGUGCACACACAGUGAGGAAUAAGGAGUGCAGUAUAUUGCUGAACCUUAACUUAUAAUCCCUUGGUUAAAAAAAAUUAUAAAAUGGGAGACAGGUUAGGGAAGCACUCCAGAAAGACUGUUCUGAUUUGCUUUUGUCUUUAAUUAAAUCUAUUAUCGUACUAAUUCUAAAUUUUAACCACAUGAAGCACUUUGUGCUGUAGGAAUAAAAUGCUCUUCUAGUUUGGUUUCAUUUUCUUUCAUUUGUUGAUGAUAUGUUGUGUGCUUUGGUCCAUUUAAAAUUCAUGCCACAUAGAGCUGCCGCAUACUUCACUACAAAACAGUACCCGAGGUACUCCAAGUCGGUCGUCAUAAGGUACAUAAAUAACAUGACAUCCUUCAGUAGUGCUGUAAAAUACUUUUGGUCCACUGCAGUAAAAAUAAGUAAGCGUGGUUUCUGUUACAUGCAAUUUUGCAAUUUGAAGUAAAAAAAGAAAGAAAAAAAAGACCAUAAUAUCCAUCUUUUUUUUUUUUUUUUUUCUUUUUGACUGCAGGGGCCUAUGCGUAUUGGGCUGCGGGUAAAUUGGAGUCUAUUCCAGCUGACUUUAUGUGAGAACAGCCAACAAUGACGAUUACUAAAGAGGCAAAAUUUAUGUUGUCAUCUUUCUUCAAUGUGAGGUUGCCAUUUUAUUUCUUACAGUUUAAUUUAUUUACGACAAAAAUAACUAUGAUGAUAUUGUCUAGAAGAACCAUAAAAUAGCAAAUAAAUCAGGCAAUUGCAGCGUCAAACUCAUCCUCCCUCUCGCUGACCUCCCAUACACAAUUUUACAGCUAUUAAGACAAUCGCAAUUCUGUUUUAUAUGCAAUAACACUAAUUUCCGAGUUGUUCUUGAACGCAUCGUUAGCGACGGCUGGUGCGUCACGAGCGUAGCAGGUGUUUUGGUGAAUCUAAUGAUGCCAAGGCUGAUAAAAUGGUGGACGAAAAAGCCAUGUGCAUUUUGUGAAUGAUUCAAAGGUUCAGAACUGGAGAAUCUUGGCUUCCUAGGUCUUCUUUUCCAGAACACUGAUAAACAUGUAGCGGGAAGUCGACUCAAGGUUGCCUGAGAAAUAAUCGUCAAGAUGGCAAGGAGAAUCUAUGCUCAUCUGUAGUGGAAACGAUGGUUUACGGCUAAUUGCAGAGUAGAGUGGCUUUCUGAACGUCGAUUAGCGCCCUACUGAGUUGAGAGGCAGUACGGAUGUUGCGAGGAAGACGCAAAAGAGAGAAACUGCACAUCAGUAAAAACAGGAAAAAAAAAAAAGGUGAGGCAACAUUUAUGUGUUGACACGUUGCCGUUCACUUUGUGGACACAAGCGGUAUGUUUUAGGACGACAUGAGUGCCGGCUUGCGUUGUGAUGUUGCUUUUAAGUGCUGCAAGAUGCGAGAGUGGGGAAACAAGGGGGUGAGUUGAGGUUAUGGGGAGUGAUGGCUGAAAGGAGCAAGCGAGCGAGACGCAGCGAGAGAGAGAGAGAGAGAGCGAGCGAGACAAGUUCUCCACAGCCCAGAGGCAGUGACACACUAGCAGAUGUUUCUGCCUCUCAACGCCAAGAACGUGCAUCUCCCC